GACCUUGCCCUUGGACUCACCUAAUGGUCAGGUUCAAGGUCACAUGGGCUUAGAUAGUCACAGCAGUAAAAAAGUGUAUGGUUUUAAAGUAAAGAAGACUUCACAACAUGACAUCCGAGACUGCAGGGACGAAAUGACUCACGUCAGCAGAGGAAGCCAAGACACAAUACGAGAAUUUCCAGCGGCUUACCUGCUUCUUCAAUGCAUUGAAUGCAUUCACAGUUUCAACACGCUUUACAACUCUAGAACAUUGUGGGCACAAG